rnacentral:rRNA from 1 species
ACUACGGGAGGCAGCAGUGGGGAAUAUUGCACAAUGGGGGAAACCCUGAUGCAGCAACGCCGCGUGAGUGAAGAAGUAUUUCGGUAUGUAAAGCUCUAUCAGCAGGGAAGAAGAUGACGGUACCUGAUUAAGAAUCACCGGCUAACUACGUGCCAGCAGCCGCGGUAAUACGUAGGGGGCAAGCGUUCUCCGGAUUUACUGGGUGUAAGGGGAGCGCAGACGGCAGUGCAAGUCUGGCGUGAAAGCCCCGGGCCCAACCCCGGAACUGAUCUGGAGACUGUGCGGCUAGAGUACUGGAGUGGCAGGUGGAAUUCCUGGUGUAGCGGUGAAAUGCGUAGAUAUUAGGAAGAACACCAGUGGCGAAGGCAGCCUGCUGGACAGUAACUGACGUUGAGGCUCGAAAGCGUGGGGAGCAAACAGGAUUAGAUACCCCAGUAGUC